UCCGGUACGAUCACCGCAGUUAAGCAAUGUCGAGUCUGGUCAGUACCUAGAUGGGUGACCGUUUCGGAAAACCAGGUGCUGUAAG